rnacentral:rRNA from 1 species
UACGGGGGGAGCAAGCGUUGUUCGGAUUUACUGGGCGUAAAGGGCGGGUAGGCGGCCACCGCAAGUCGACUGUGAAAUCUCCGGGCUUAACCCGGAAGGUCAGCCGAUACUGCGGGGCUAGAGUGCAGAAGGGGCAACUGGAAUUCUCGGUGUAGCGGUGAAAUGCGUAGAUAUCGAGAGGAACACCUGCGGCGAAGGCGGGUUGCUGGGCUGACACUGACGCUGAACUGCGAAAGCUAGGGGAGCGAACGGG